ACACACUGAAAAUGGCCGCAGGUGUAUCAGUGGUCUGUGGUCAGAUAACUGUGCCUACAGUAGUGUGGUACAUUAAGCUUAUUGCGUGUGUCUCGUGGUGGCGGCGUGAUAAAACCCAUGUACCAACAUCC
ensembl:snoRNA